rnacentral:rRNA from 1 species
UAAAAUUGCAAAUUCCCAAACCAUCGUGAACGUUACCUACAUCGUUGCUUCGGCGGGUGGCGGGCUUCCGCCCCGCCCUCGGCCCCUCCCGGGGGCCCGCCGGAGGUACACCAAACUCUUGAAUUUACAUGGCCUCUCUGAGUCUUCUGUACUGAAUAAGUCAAAACUUUCAACAACGGAUCUCUUGGUUCUGGCAUCGAUGAAGAACGCAGCGAAAUGCGAUAAGUAAUGUGAAUUGCAGAAUUCAGUGAAUCAUCGAAUCUUUGAACGCACAUUGCGCCCGCCAGUAUUCUGGCGGGCAUGCCUGUCCGAGCGUCAUUUCAACCAUCAAGCCCCCGGCUUGUGUUGGGGACCUGCGGCACACCCGCAGGCCAUGAAAACCAGUGGCGGGCUCGCUGUCCACACCGAGCGUAGUAGCAUAUCUUUGUCUCGCUCAGGGCGUGCGGCGGGUUCCGGCCGUGAAACCCACCUUCUCGAAGGUACCCAAAGGUUGACCUCGGAUCAAGUAGGAAGACCCGCUGAACUUAAGCAUAUCAAUAAGCGGAGGAAA